rnacentral:rRNA from 1 species
GGCGUAGGGCGCGAGCGUUGUCCGGAUUUAUUGGGCGUAAAGAGCUCGUAGGCGGCUUGUCGCGUCGUCCGUGAAAACUUGGGGCUCAACCCCAAGCUUGCGGUCGAUACGGGCAGGCUCGAGUUCGGUAGGGGAGACCGGAAUUCCUGGUGUAGCGGUGAAAUGCGCAGAUAUCAGGAGGAACACCGGUGGCGAAGUCGGGUCUCUGGGCCGAUACUGACGCUGAGGAGCGAAAGCGUGGGGAGCGAACAGG